rnacentral:lncRNA from 1 species
UUGGUAAUUUGUUGUUGACUGCGUAUAACACUGCAUGGCCUUUGCCAGUCUGACCACAGUACUGGGAGGAGUCAAGUAACUGUAAAACCAAGCAUUUUGUUUACUGUGUGCACAUCAGUCAGAACCGCCUGCUGUGCCAGAACUAGGCUUUUUAAUAGCAAGCUAGAAUUUACAGUAAUUUUAGACUUUUAAUUAAAAUUGGAUCACUUGAGAUAAAUUUGUUGUAGUAUAAUCUAUGUUAGAACCAUUUUUCCUGUCAAAAGUAAAUUUUGUGGUUAUAUCAUAUAGUACUUCUUUAAAAAUGUACCUCGCAGUGUCAUUAUGUGAGUAUAUAUAUUUAAUUCCAUUUGUCUUAUAUAUGUAUAUGAUUAUGCAUACAUUAUACAUAUAGUUAGAAAGUAUUCUAGAGCUGAAUAGAAGGAAACAUUGGGAAGCUGUGUAACAAUUAUUCAGGUAAUUAUGUUUAUGUGGGUAUCAUGGAUACAUAAUGUAAAAUUUGUUUAGAAGUCAGUGGAGCUCAAUCCUUGUUCACCUUCACUUCUCCUUUCUGAUAGAAAGCUUUUGGUUUUGAAUUGUAUGUUUUAAACUAUGCUAACCUAACAUGCUCAAAAAACAAAACAAAACAAAACAAAAAACUUGUAGAAAUAAUUUUCCCCCAGAAGACUCAUUUAUGCCGUGAUCUCCAACACUGUCGUCCUGUAUCAUUGUGUACUUGAUCCGUACUUAUAGUGAGAUUUCAAAAAUCAUAUUCAUUUAUACAUUUUUAUGUCUGUUAUUGCUUCUUCUUUCAUAAUGCUUGUUAUACACUUGUGUGUGUGUGUGACUUUUUACAUUAGGGAUCAUUUAGCUUUGUUAGAAAAUAGGCUCAAAAUUACGGGAAAAUAAAUUAUAUUAUCUUUUAAAGAAGAUUUACCCUUUUAUUUCCUAAGGCCAAAAUUGGCUUCAUUUUUGACAUGUUAUAUUUUCUCAAGUUUUAGAAAUAAUAGUUGAGACCUAAAACUAUUCUGGAUACUCCUGGAUAAUCACUGUGCUGGGCUCUGAGCUAUGCACUGUAUCAACAAAAAGGUACUCAUUUAUCUGAUUGAUUUAAAAGAUUUGAAAGUUCCUUUCUUUUACAGCUUCUCCAUGGUGCCAACUAUAAUAAACUGUUAGGAAUAAAGAAGCCUGUUGUUGGGGAAAGGGUAAACAGUAUAGGCUUCCUCACUGUAUGCUGUUGCUGGUGGAGGGGGAAGACUCUGGGGGAAAGAGGGACUGACAACCUAGCUCUGAUUAGGGUAAGGUGGCUAAUAGGUCUCACUGAGUGUUGGGUAGGCUGAUACUCAGAGGUCUACAUUUCUUCUCUAACCUUCAAAACUGCCAAUAUGAAAAAUAGUUUACCCACUUGAGCAAGAAAACUAGUUCAGAGACAACUUAUUUGUUGUGCUACCAUGGGAUAGCAAGGACUAACAUUUGUUAUGUAAUUGUGUCCUUUACAUAUGACAAAACAUGAUAUUCAUAUUUUGGAUUUUUUCACAUCGUUCCAAGCACUGUGUGAAAAGCUUUAUUUAAGAAUUACAUAGUUAAUAUUUAUACACACACAAAUACAACACACCCUCACCCUUUUUCUGAGUGGAAUUUCAUAGUGAAUGAUACGGUAGAUUAAUAUAUGUGAAUAUUUCUGCUAUGUUUGAGUUAUCAUUCUAGAAUGUUACUUUUAGUUGUUAUUAUAUAUCCAAAGAAUGGUAUACAUUAAUGUUUACUCAUCUAAUAUUGUUGGAAUUUGUUCUGGUUUUUUUGGAACAGUAUGGAGAUUGACCUUUAAUUUUUUUUUAAAUCUGUAUCUGUUGUUUUAUCCUUGAGAUUGUCUAGGAAGGUCACUUUUUUUUUAUUAAAUUAUAU